rnacentral:rRNA from 1 species
UACGUAGGUGGCAAGCGUUGUCCGGAUUUACUGGGCGUAAAGAGCGCGCAGGCGGUCGUGCAAGUCGCGUGUGAAAGCCCCCGGCUCAACUGGGGAGGGUCACGCGAUACUGCUCGACUUGAAGGCAGGAGAGGGAAGUGGAAUUCCCGGUGUAGUGGUGAAAUGCGUAGAUAUCCGGAAGAACACCGGAGGCGAAGGCGGCUUGCUGGACCUGGUCUGACGCUGAGGCGCGAAAGCGUGGGGAGCGAACAGG